rnacentral:rRNA from 1 species
AGAACGAACGCUGGCGGCAGGCUUAACACAUGCAAGUCGAACGCUCGUAGCAAUACGGGAGUGGCAGACGGGUGAGUAACGCGUGGGAACAUACCCUCCGGUUCGGAAUAGCUCAGGGAAACUUGGAUUAAUACCGGAUACGGCUGAGAGGCGAAAGAUUUAUCGCCGGAGGAUUGGCCCGCGUUCGAUUAGCUUGUUGGUGAGGUAACGGCUCACCAAGGCGAUGAUCGAUAGCUGGUCUGAGAGGAUGAUCAGCCACACUGGGACUGAGACACGGCCCAGACUCCUACGGGAGGCAGCAGUUGGGAAUCUUGGACAAUGGGGGAAACCCUGAUCCAGCCAUGCCGCGUGAGUGAUGAAGGCCUUCGGGUUGUAAAACUCUUUCGACGGGGACGAUAAUGACGGUACCCGUAGAAGAAGCUCCGGCUAACUUCGCGCCAGCAGCCGC